AUGGGGACGGCAGCGGCGGCGCUAUCCGUUGUGUCGCUGUUGUGCUGGACGGCGUCGACGGCGGUGCACGCGUCGCAUGUCAUCUAUCCGGAGCUCCAGUCGCUGGAGACCAAGGAGGUUGCACAGGAGCUGCGCACCGGCUACCACUUCCAGCCCCCUAAGAACUGGAUCAAUGGGCCAAUGUACUACAAAGGGCUGUACCACCUCUUCUACCAGUACAACCCCAAGGGCGCCGUGUGGGGGAACAUCAUCUGGGCGCACUCCGUCUCCACCGACCUCAUUCACUGGGUGGCGCUGGAGCCUGCGAUCUACCCGACCAUGCCCUUCGACAAAAUUCUAGAUUUUUACAAUCGGGGUUCUUCAAAUUCGCACGCUAAAAUACAUGGGAUGUUUGUGAUUGGAUGCAUGGAAAUUGAUCCAGUGAAACUGAGGAAACUUGGGACAGCGUUUAAGAAGAAUGGGCCUGUAACUGCUGGCACUUCUUCUACUGCAAGUGAUGGUGCUGCUGCAAUUGCACUAGUCAAUGGGGUGAAAGCUACGAACCUUGGCCUUCAAGUUAUUGCAAGGAUAAAAUUUGAGCUGAAGGUCUCAAGAUUCACAAAUAUCCUCAUUCUAGUCGAUACGAUCAAGAAGGCGACAGUUUGGUCACACUUGGAUCCGCUUCAGCUUCUUUUUAUUCCUGCACCAUUCUUCAUUAAUCAUUGGUCACGCAAUUUUACUAUUUCAGGCCACAAAAUGACUGUAAUAGAUUUCAUAGAUCUGAGCGAUCAUGAUAUUAUUGACUUGAGCAGCAGCGAUGACGAGACUGUUCAGGAGGAUCAUAUUGCAACUCAGCACCGGGCGGCGUCGCUUGAUAGGCAGACUGUGCAUGUCAUAGCUGGUGAAGGAAUCCAAGAUGUGCAGGCUGCGUUUGUUGCAACUAGUGAAGGAAGGCAAGAUGUGCAGGCUGUGUUUGCUGCAGCUAGUGAAGGAAGACAAGAGGCUGCCGACUGCGGACAUGCUUUGGAAGCCACCACAUCGUCCUUGGUUACGGAAAAAGAACCUCUUGUUGCAGCUAGUGAAGGAAGCCAAGAUGUGCAAGCUGUGCUUGUUGCAGCUCGUGAAGGAAGCCAAGAUGUGCAGGCUGCGUUUGUUGCAGUUAGUGAAGGAAGUCAAGAAGCUGCUGACUCUGGAAAUGGUUUGGAAGCUACAGCAUCGUCUUUGGUUACUGAAAAAGCACCUCUUGAUAUGGCUGAAUCGCACAACUGUACUCGCUCUCCCACAUCAGCGCCGUUCCCCAGCCCGACUUCUACCUUUCUGAAGGCUCCGACCUUUGAAGGUGGCGAUGCAAAGAUGGUAAGAGGGAAGGUGAAGCGUCCCAGGAAGAACUACCACACCGGUACUCCUAGGACAAGUCCUAGGUUUGAACUGAAGCCUGAAUGUCGGAACGGGCCUCUGGAAGAGCUGCCAGCCGAGGCACUGACCUCUGAAGGUGGCGACGCGGAGCUGGUGAGAGAGAAGAUGCAACAUCCUGGGAAGGAUUACCAUACCGGCACUCCUGGGACAAGUGCUAGCUUUGAACCGAAGCGUGAAUGUCAUAACGGGCCUGUGGAAGAGCUGCUAGCCGAGGCUCUGACCUCUGAAGGUGGCGAUGCGGAGUUGGUGAGAGGGAAGNNNNNNNNNNNNNNNNNNNNNNNNNNNNNNNNNNNNNNNNNNNNNNNNNNNNNNNNNGAACCAAAGCAUGAAUAUCAUAACGGGCCUGUGGAAGAGCUGCCAGCAGAGGCACUGACCUCUGAAGUUGGCUACGCAGAGCUGGUGAGAGGCAAGCUGAAACAUCCUAGGAAGAACUACCCUGCUGACACUCCUAGGACAAGUCCUAUGUUUGAACCGAAGCGUGAAUGUCAUAACGGGUCUGUUGGAGAGCUGCCAGCCAAGGUUCUGACCUCUGAAGGUGGUGACGCCGAGCUGGUGAGAGGGGAAGUGAAACAUUCCAGGAAGAACUACCAUACCGGCACUCCUCGGACAAGUCCUAGGUUUGAAACAAAGCGCGAAUGUCGUAACGGGUCCGUGGAAGAGCUGCCAGCUGAGGCUCUGACCUCUGAUGGUGCUGAUGCAGAGCUGGUGAGGGGGAAGGUGAAACAUGCUAGGAAGGACUACCAUACUGGCAUUCCUAGGACAAGUCCUAGGUUUCAACUGAAGCAUGAACGUCGCAAGGGGCCCGUGGAAGAACCGGCAGCCGAUCAUAAGAGGUUCCGCACGCUAGAAGAAUUAAUUGCCUCUCCUGACAAUGCAGAAUCUGCUAUGACCCCGUCUAUUGACUCUCUGAACUAA
rnacentral:rRNA from 1 species